rnacentral:rRNA from 1 species
UUGAACGCUGGCGGCAUGCCUUACACAUGCACGUCGAACGGCAGCACGGGUGCUUGCACCUGGUGGCGAGUGGCGAACGGGUGAGUAAUACAUCGGAACAUGUCCUGUAGUGGGGGAUAGCCCGGCGAAAGCCGGAUUAAUACCGCAUACGAUCUACGGAUGAAAGCGGGGGACCUUCGGGCCUCGCGCUAUAGGGUUGGCCGAUGGCUGAUUAGCUAGUUGGUGGGGUAAAGGCCUACCAAGGCGACGAUCAGUAGCUGGUCUGAGAGGACGACCAGCCACACUGGGACUGAGACACGGCCCAGACUCCUACGGGAGGCAGCAGUGGGGAAUGUUGGACAAUGGGCGAAAGCCUGAUCCAGCAAUGCCGCGUGUGUGAAGAAGGCCUUCGGGUUGUAAAGCACUUUUGUCCGGAAAGAAAUCCUUGGCCCUAAUACGGUCGGGGGAUGACGGUACCGGAAGAAUAAGCACCGGCUAACUACGUG